rnacentral:rRNA from 1 species
AGGCUUUGAUCCUGGCUCAGGAUGAACGAUGGCGGUAUGCUUAACACAUGCAAGUCGAACGGUCUCUUCGGAGAUAGUGGCGGACGGGUGAGUAACGCGUGAGAAUCUGGCUCUAGGUCUGGGACAACAGAUGGAAACGUCUGCUAAUACCGGAUGUGCCGAGAGGUGAAAGGCUAGCUGCCUGGAGAUGAGCUCGCGUCAGAUUAGCUAGUAGGUGGGGUAAAGGCCUACCUAGGCGACGAUCUGUAGCUGGUCUGAGAGGACGAUCAGCCACACUGGGACUGAGACACGGCCCAGACUCCUACGGGAGGCAGCAGUGGGGAAUUUUCCGCAAUGGGCGAAAGCCUGACGGAGCAAUACCGCGUGAGGGAGGAAGGCUCCUGGGUUGUAAACCUCUUUUCUCAAGGAAUAAGAAUGAAGGUACUUGAGGAAUAAGCAUCGGCUACAUCCGUGC